GAUGAACGCUGGCGGCGUGCCUAAUACAUGCAAGUCGAGCGAACGGACGAGAAGCUUGCUUCUCUGAUGUUAGCGGCGGACGGGUGAGUAACACGUGGAUAACCUACCUAUAAGACUGGGAUAACUUCGGGAAACCGGAGCUAAUACCGGAUAAUAUUUUGAACCGCAUGGUUCAAAAGUGAAAGACGGUCUUGCUGUCACUUAUAGAUGGAUCCGCGCUGCAUUAGCUAGUUGGUAAGGUAACGGCUUACCAAGGCAACGAUGCAUAGCCGACCUGAGAGGGUGAUCGGCCACCCUGGAACUGAGACACGGUCCAGACUCCUACGGGAGGCAGCAGUAGGGAAUCUUCCGCAAUGGGCGAAGGCCUGACGGAGCAACGCCGCGUGAGUGAUGAAGGUCUUCGGAUCUUAAAACUCUGUUAUUAGGGAAGAACAUAUGUGUAAGUAACUGUGCACAUCUUGACGGUACCUAAUCAGAAAGCCACGGCUAACUACGUG
rnacentral:rRNA from 1 species